UUCGUAGGUGGUGCGGCAAGUUGGAAGUGAAAUCUCUGGGCUUAACCCAGAGGCUGCUUUCAAAACUGCCGCGCUCGAGUGCGGGAGAGGUCAGUGGAAUUGCAGGUGUAGCGGUGAAAUGCGUAGAUAUCUGUAGGAACACCCGUGGCGAAGGCGGCUGACUGGAUCGCAACUGACACUGAGGAACGAAAGCUAGGGGAGCAAACAGGAUUAGAUACCCUGGUAGUCCUAGCCCUAAACCAUCAGAACUUGGGGUGGCCCGCGUAGGCGGGUCGUCCCGUAGCUAACGCGUUAAGUUCUGCGCCUGGGGAGUACGGUCGCAAGACUGAA
rnacentral:rRNA from 1 species